AGUGAACGCUGGCGGUAGGCCUAACACAUGCAAGUCGAACGGCAGCACAGUAAGAGCUUGCUCUUACGGGUGGCGAGUGGCGGACGGGUGAGGAAUACAUCGGAAUCUACUUUUUCGUGGGGGAUAACGUAGGGAAACUUACGCUAAUACCGCAUACGACCUACGGGUGAAAGCAGGGGAUCUUCGGACCUUGCGCGAUUGAAUGAGCCGAUGUCGGAUUAGCUAGUUGGCGGGGUAAAGGCCCACCAAGGCGACGAUCCGUAGCUGGUCUGAGAGGAUGAUCCGCCACACUGGAACUGAGACACGGUCCAGACUCCUAGGGGAGGCAGCAGUGGGGAAUAUUGGAAAAGGGGCGAAAGCCUGCUCCAGCCAUACCGCGUGGGUGAAGAAGGCUUUCGGGUUGUAAAGCCCUUUUGUGGGGAAAGAAAAGCAGCAGGUUAAUACCCCGCUGUUCUGACGGUACCCACAGAAUAAGCACCGGCUAACUUCGU
rnacentral:rRNA from 1 species